CAGCAGCCGCGGGAAUACCGAGGAUGCAAGCGUUAUUCGGAAUGAUUGGGCAUAAAGCGUCUGUAGGUGGCUUUUCAAGUCCACCGUCAAAUCCCGGGGCUCAACCCUGGACAGGCAGUGGAAACUACCAAGCUGGAGUACGGUAGGGGCAAAGGGAAUUUCCGGUGGAGCGGUGAAAUGCGUUGAGAUCGGAAAGAACACCAACGAUGAAAGCACUCCGCUGGGCCGACACUGAUACUGAGAGACGAAAGAUAGGGGAGCAAAUAGGAUUAGAUACCCCAGUAGUCCCUGUCUCUUAUAC
rnacentral:rRNA from 1 species